rnacentral:tRNA from 1 species
UCCCUGGAGGGCUAGUGGUUAGGCCACAGUACUCUAGCCACAGUGCUCCCACCGCUGUGGCCCAGGUUCAAUUCCCAGCCAGGGAA